AUCAAUCUGAUAUCAGCGCGGAUCUGUCAAAGCAAAGAGAGGGCCGCAGAAUAAAAGAGGGUCUGUGAGAUGGUCUGCACACCUCCUCCCAGCAACAUGCUCCCAGAACACAUCUGAGAAACCAAAAAUGAGAAAGGAUGGAGUAAAUCGUUCUGGGGACUCAGAGGUUCAUAUUGAUCUAACAACCAUCACAAGGAAGCUUAAGGAUUUGACUGUCUUUAAUGAAGCCUUCAGCAAUUUCUCUCAGCAAAGGCCUCCCUGAAGGGCAUGACAGCAAACGCGCUGCCGUCCUGCCACCAGGACAAAAUUAGGACAAGCAUGUGGGCGAGUGACAAGAAGGGUGGUCAAUCAUCAGUGUGCUCUGAAAGAAGAGAGGCAGGCUGAGUGGGCAGGAGAGCUGCAAGAACAGACUUGAAUAAGAAGAAGAUUAAAUGACACUUAUCU